AAUUUGUAAAACAUUUGUAUUCCCUCCUGUACUGCAGUAGAAGGAAUGCGUCAACUGCCACUUUUUAAGAAAUAUAAUACACUUCCUCCUACUUUGGGUUUGAAAUUGGAACCAAAACAAAUUUGCUGCAGAAAAAACUGAUCUUAAAGGUCCUGGCAGGAGGUAAAGUCUGGAAGUGAGCUCACUCCUUGCUGCCAUUAUCCCUUCAUGGGAAUCUAGAUGUGCCAUUCUAUAUCCUGCAUCCUCUGCUCCUUUUCAGAAAACCAGAAAGCUGAAUGACAUCACAAAAUGCACAAAGUGCACAACCAGCCAAGACUCCUGGGUUUAUCACAUGGAAUGCAAGUGGGAGCAUGAGGGGAAACAGCAGAAAACACAACAUCAAGAAGGUUUGGAAGACAUGCCAAAGUGAAAAUGGUAGCCCAGGUGCAAAGCCAAAGCCACUAACAGCAUCCCACAAGAAAGCAGAUCAAGAAAUAGGGCUUUGAUCAAGAGAAUACUGGGAGGAGUGGUUUCCUGCUGUGGGAAGUGGGACCUGCAUCACAGUUACACUUGCUGGAGUUACAUCUGGACAGAUGGUGAGAACACAGCCAGAAGGAGAAACCUCUGGGUUUCCAAUAAAGCCUCUCUUCACUUUCAUGCCUUCACAAGUCUGUCAAUCCACAAAGCUGUCUGGAAGAAAGAGACAGGGAAGAGCUAUGUGCUUCAGUAGUAAAUGACCAACAGGUAAAGAGACACAGAAAAUUCAAAUCUGUACAAAUCAAAUGCUUUUGCCUAGACUACAAAAUGCACUCAGAUGUAUGUCUCCAUGUUUAACUGAUUCACCUUCAAACCCUCCAGAGAAACUUCAUGAGCUGAGGCAGGGGGCCAGGAAACUCCAGGGGUAAUUCUGGCCAUCCUGACAGAUGCUGCUCUGAGAAGUGUCUCAUUCAUCCAGGUAUUUCACAUGAAACUCAAAUGAGCUCACACUUUUCAGCAAUGAGUCACACACUCAUUUGGCAAAUACAAAGACUUCAGAGUCCCUCUCCCUCAUUCCCAGAUGCUGGAAAGUCACAAUUCUUUGAGUGUGAUGUCAGGAGGUGUUGCCAUGAAAACCCUUUUAAAAUCAUAAGCACUAAAUUGUAACUCCUUUUGCAUGGUAAAGGAUCACACAGGGGGUACUGCGGUUUGGAGGAAGAUAUCUUAUAAUUAGUGAUAAUAACAAAGGAAAUAUCCAUAAUUACAUCAAAGAAGUCUUCACUGAGUAUUGUUUUUACUUACUUCCAGAGGGAACACAUAAUUCUCUGAAAAAACAUGACUGUUUUAAGCAGAUGUAGAUAAAUAAAAAAGUGCUAUCAAGAGAAUCAAACUUCAAACUGAAGCCGGAAAAAUACUUCAAAAUGCACAAGAGGUUAUCUAAUCAAUCAGCUUAAAGGCCAGUCGUCAGCUCUCCGCCAACAGGCAGAGCUGCUAUGUCUGCAGUGUGUGCGCAUCUUUUCAGAUGAACACGGCACACUACAGCAUAUCCUGGGUGCGUGUAUCUGCAUACAGGAGGCACAGUCUGGGGAUUCAUUUCAUCCAGCCACACAAACAGGACUAAUUUUGUAAAGUGCAGAUAGCUAAAAAUAGCCAAGAGUGAAGUUAUGCAAUAAAACCUGGUGUACGUUUUCCCUUUCCAGAUGAGAGAAUCUGACAUAGUUUCAAAUAGAGAAUAAAUAAAUAAAUAAAUAAAGGCGAUGGUCUGAUCAGUGUAUAAACUAUAUUCAUUUCAUUCCCUUCUGCAGAGAAGGAAUUUGAAUCUCCUAUACAUUAAAGAUGCAUGCCCACUGUCAUAUCAUUUCAGCGACUUAAAUAGUAAAUGAUCAAAAAUUCACAGUGCUUCUGCCCUCCUCUGGAAAAAAAAUAGGUCAAAAAUGAAUGGAAACAAACUGUCUUCUGCUCCUUUUUUAUGCAUUUGAGAGAGGAAAAAACAAGGGAGAUAAAUCUGCAUAAUACUGAACCGAAUCUCUUUAAUUCCAGUCAGCUUUUAUCAUUCAAUCACUGAGUCUGUAUGUGGAAAAAUUCAUGCUAAUUCCCCCUAGCAACAGCCUCAGCCUAUCAGGACAAGCCAUGCACCAUGCAGCUGCCAGCCAGCAAGAAUAACUCUAAGUAGGUCAGGCCUGCAUUUCUAAAAAUGCCACGGUCUAGUAACCCCACUGUCCCGUCUGUCUGCCCUGCCCCAUAAUAACCUCAAUUGCUUGGUGACACAAUGACAUACUGCCCUGUUAGAGCGCAAUCAAAUCACGCUGCAUUAUUCUGCUGCGAGCAUCACUGCUGGAAGAAGGAGCCGUCGAGGGGCAGCAUUAAUCAGGCGGCCAUUCAUGUCCACCGGCACUUCACUCUGGAGAUGGGGCCUGCAUUAAUGACCAGCUGUUGGAAGGAACACAAACAAAGUAACGCCUUCCACCCUGCCGGCUGUGCAGAAUACGCCAUUCUGUUCAGGCAGGUUGCACUCAUUGACAGAGGCCGCGAUGUAAAUUAAACAGCCCCAGACAAUGCCGGCUUUUGUAAGCUCCUACUAAUUAAA
ensembl:lncRNA